rnacentral:rRNA from 1 species
GCCCAGUCAUAAACCUUGAUGAUAAAGUACAAAUAUCAUCCGCCAGGGAACUACAAGCGCAUUGCUCGAAACCCAACGGACUUGGCGGUGCCCCACACCCACCUAGAGGAGCCUGUUCUAUAACUGACAAUCCCCGUUCAACCUCACCACCCCUAGCCUCUUCAGUCUAUAUACCACCGUCGUAAGCUCACCCUGUGAAGGAUUAACAGUAAGCAAAAUGGGCAAAACCCAAAACGUCAGGUCGAGGUGUAGCAUAUGGAGUGGGAAGAAAUGGGCUACAUUUUCUGAAUACAGAAUAUUACGGACAACGUCAUGAAACCUGCCGUUCAAAGGAGGAUUUAGCAGUAAAAAGAAAACAGAGAGUUCUUUUGAAGCCGGCCCUGGGGCGCGCCCA